UUGUGCUUGAUCUAACCAUGUGCCCCCGCCUACACUCGCCUCACAUGGUUCCGUCAAGCACCAGG
ensembl:miRNA